rnacentral:rRNA from 1 species
GAUCAUGGCUCAGGAUGAACGCUAGCUACAGGCUUAACACAUGCAAGUCGAGGGGAAACGACAUCGAAAGCUUGCUUUUGAUGGGCGUCGACCGGCGCACGGGUGAGUAACGCGUAUCCAACCUGCCCAUCACUUGGGAAUAACCUUGCGAAAGUAAGACUAAUGCCCAAUGAUAUCCCACGAAGGCAUCCGAAUGGGAUUAAAGAUUCAUCGCUGAUAGAUAGGCAUGCG